rnacentral:tRNA from 1 species
GCAUUGGUGAUUCAGUGGUAGAAUUCUCACCUUCUACGCAGGAGACUUUGGUUCAAUUCCUGGCCAAUGCA